UACGGAGGGUGCGAGCGUUGUCCGGAAUCAUUGGGCGUAAAGGGCGCGUAGGUGGCCUGCUAAGCGUGCGGUGAAAGCCUGGGGCUCAACCCCGGGUCGGCCGUGCGAACUGGUGGGCUUGAGCACUGUAGAGGCAGGCGGAAUUCCGGGUGUAGCGGUGGAAUGCGUAGAGAUCAGGAGGAACACCGAUGGCGAAGGCAGGUCACUGGGCCGCAACUGACGCUGAGGAGCGAAAGCGUGGGGAGCAAACAGG
rnacentral:rRNA from 1 species